rnacentral:lncRNA from 1 species
AUGAAAUAUUAGUUCUGGCUGCUAGUGCAGUUCUGGACUCGGAUCAAGGGUGUCGAGAGGGUCCCGCGUCCUGUUCUUUCGCCUUUCAAAAAUACUUUUUACGGAUUGAGAAUUUUUAAAUGCCACUAGGGGAAAGGUGAAGGUUCUUUGCAGUCUUCAGUGUUGAAAUGGACGAAGGUAAGGAAGACAAAUCAUUUUAAGACGAAAUCCCCGAUUUUUUAAAAAAAGGAGGAAAAAAGCAGGGCGGCUAAGGAUAAAGAAAGAGGACUUGAGAAAAUGUGGAGAAUGAAAAACAGGAGAGCAGCGAGCAAAAGCAAAGAUCCAGAGUUCAAAGAGCGUGGCAGAAGGAAAUAGCUGCGGGCUGAGUGCUGACGAGGGGAGGGACUGACGGCGGCCGGCCGGCAAGAGCGCGGAGCUGCGCUGCGGCGGCCCAGGAGCUGCUGCGGUUCCCGCUGCUCGGGGAGCAGGCGGUGUGUGCGCGGCUGCGAAGGCGAGGUUGAAACUGCACCGCCAAGGCGCGCUCCUGCUGUGUCUGGAGCUCCGGCGUCUCCUCUGCCUCCCAGCUCAGCGCCUCCCACCCUCCUUUCCUCCUCCUCUUCCCAGCUCCCCCGCCCUCUGCUGCUCGCAGCCUCGCCAGUGAGAAUCUACUGUAAGUGUGAGUUGCUUCGACGAAGUCACACACCCACGGAGGGAAGUAAUCUGGAGGCUGCCUUGAAGUCUGAAAGCAGGUUCUUUCUAUCAUAAUGUGCUCCAAAUGGAUGAAGCAAAUUUAGAGGAAGAGCAGUGAAUCAGUCUCUCAGUUUGGCAAAAAGCCUCACAGCAUGUACAUGAAACCUUCCUGCAGACAUCCACAGUGAACAAGUCGAAGGGCAAUAGCUUUCGUUGGCCCCCAAUGGAAGGCAUUUUUAGUGAUGCGCGGCCUCACCACUUAAAUCCAGUUUAUUGAAUCUGAAGUGAUUUGCUCCUCUUCCUGGACUACACAAUAAACACCCCCCAAUGUCCUCAGCCAUGCUCUUCCCAUCACUUGGCUGAAAGGGGAGGAAUUUAAGGCCUUAGAGUGGGGGAAGCUACAAUUUGGAAGAAUCCUGGAAGCACAUCCCCAUGAGGGUCUGUUUCUUCUGUGAUAUAAGCAAGAAAUAAAUGAAUUGUGCAAAUCCA